UACAGAGGGUGCGAGCGUUGUUCGGAUUUACUGGGCGUAAAGGGCGCGCAGGCGGUUCUGUUUGUCGAGUGUGAAAGCCCCGGGCUCAACCUGGGAACUGCGCUCGAAACGGCGGAACUAGAGUUCGGGAGAGGAGAGUGGAAUUCCCAGUGUAGAGGUGAAAUUCGUAGAUAUUGGGAAGAACACCGGUGGCGAAGGCGACUUUCUGGUCUGCAACUGACGCUGAGGCGCGAAAGCAUGGGGAGCAAACAGG
rnacentral:rRNA from 1 species